GUGCCAGCAGCCGCGGUAAUACGUAGGGUGCGAGCGUUGUCCGGAAUUACUGGGCGUAAAGAGCUCGUAGGCGGUUUGUCACGUCGUCUGUGAAAUCCCUCGGCUUAACCGGGGGCGUGCAGGCGAUACGGGCAGACUUGAGUACUACAGGGGAGACUGGAAUUCCUGGUGUAGCGGUGAAAUGCGCAGAUAUCAGGAGGAACACCGGUGGCGAAGGCGGGUCUCUGGGUAGUACCUGACGCUGAGGAGCGAAAGCAUGGGGAGCGAACAGGAUUAGAUACCCUGGUAGUCCAUGCCGUAAACGGUGGGCGCUAGGUGUGGGGUCCUUCCACGGAUUCCGUGCCGUAGCUAACGCAUUAAGCGCCCCGCCUGGGGAGUACGGCCGCAAGGCUAAAACUCAAAGGAAUUGACGGGGGCCCGCACAAGCGGCGGAGCAUGUGGAUUAAUUCGAUGCAACGCGAAGAACCUUACCAGG
rnacentral:rRNA from 1 species